ensembl:lncRNA
GGCUGCUAAUGGGGGUGCAAACAAUAGCUAUUUGUUACUGCGCACUUGUAGUAGCAAUUAAGCAACCUCUUGAACUAAUGUCUCUAAACCUUCUGCAAAAUAAUGUACUAUUAAAACAAAAAAGUGUACUCUUCCUCUUACCUCUUUCAUCUCCAUUUGAACCUGUUUGAGGCCACUGAGCACAUCCUCUAACUCCGUCACCACUUGUUUGAUCUGCUCGCGCACUGUUCCCUGGCUCUUCCUGUGGUUACUCUGGCUUCCCCCAACCUCUGACCUGUCUGCUUGACUCAGUUUGGUUUCUCCACAAUGGAUUCCACUCAUUGGCCGCUUAGGUCCUGAUGUCUUGGAGACUGUAAACUUGCUCUGGGGAACCUCAGUUGAAAAGAAUGCCUUAGCUCCAUUAUAGUGGUUCUUGAUAGGACUGGCUGGUCCAUUAUUCUCUACGCUGUGUCCAUCAUCAUGGCCCUCAAAAGUAACAUGCCUCCUUUCACAGUGUCCAUUGUAUCCAAAUUUAUGUCUAUUGUUCCAUUCUAGCUUUGGUAGAUGUGUAUUCUGGUGAUAUUUCUCGCUCAUGCAGUCCAAGUGAUGCUCCUCUGACACAUUCCGAGCUUCCCUGUAGUACCGCUGGCUCCUGACCUUUGCCAGCAUGGGGCCACCAUUGAGGGGGUGUGGCUGCUCAUGCUGGUACCAGUCCCUCCCAGAGCCACAGUCACUAUGUCUCUCAAGCCCGCCUGCCAGUCGCCCAUCAGUGACCUCUUGCCCAUGAUGGGCCAGUGCUGAUCUCUCCCACACACAUGUGGAUGGGGGAUGCCAGGGGUCCCAUCUAGGUACCCUCACCUCCCUCCACAAGUAGCACGGUGGGCUACACCUCUCAGACACAGUGUAAUGGUUUGGCCCCAAGUAGACCUGCCGUCUCUGCAGGUCAUGAUGAUUAUGGUUCCCCGACCUGUCCUCAAGUGUUUCCAGAUCAAGAGGAAAGGGUAAAGACAAGUCCUCCCUCCACACGUGUGACCUUAGGCUGGGCUCCAAAGGUGGACAUUGCACAUCACUGAGCUCAUGCCUGUAAUGUGUUAAUGCUGGUCCCUGUUGUAGGAGACUAAAAGCUGCCCAGGCUGACGACUUACAAAACAACCAGUUACCUCCUCUCUCUUUCCCCACCCAGGCCAUUCACUAAGGCUGUUUUUCUCAUCUGCGUAGGUCUUUUUCUCACACUCUACUGUCUUUCUCUCCUUUUCCCCAUUCUGUUCCCUUUUCUCACAUGCUGUUUCUUUCAACUUCUCCUCUACCACUUUUUCUAUCCCUUUCAAGACUCACCUCCCCCUUCCUUCCUUUUCUAACUUCCCCUUGUUUUCCCUCUUUUCUCUCUUUCUCUUUCCCUCUCUCCCUCUCUCUCCUCAACUUCUGUCAUUUCCCGUAUGCAGUUAGUGCUGUUGCCCUCUCUCCAGCGGUGGGCCUCUUUCUCUCCCACCUCCCCCCCCACACUAUUCUCUCACUCCAUUGCAGCCUUUCCUGUACCUAUCCUUCAUUCUGUUUGCACUUUGUUGCUCCUUCUGUCAUUUCCUCACUCUAUCUCUCCCUUCCUUUUUUUCCAUAUUCUUAACCCUUCUCUGUCUACUCUGUAAAAUUUCUCAGUCAAUUCACCCCCUCACAAUCUCUACGUCACUGGUUCUCCACCUCUCUGUUUUAGUUUCUUCCUCCCUUUCCCGGUUUCUUUCUCUCUCUUUCAGAAAGUCAAAGUCGCGGCUCGUAAAGCCAGUGAGAGCAGUUGCCUCUCCAUGUGAGUCCCAAUUGCUUCCUUAGAUCUCCCACACUCCUGCUCUGUCUCCCAAGCCCGCCUGCCACUCGCCAAUUAAACACAGCCAGGAUUCCACACUGCCUGAGACGGGGAGGGGAGAGACGGAGAGAGAGAGAGAGAGAGAGAGAGAGAG